rnacentral:rRNA from 1 species
CCUACGGGUGGCAGCAGUAGGGAAUAUUGGUCAAUGGGCGAAAGUCUGACGCAGCAACGUCGCGUGAACGAUGACUGCCCUGUGGGUUAUAGACUUCUUUUAUAUGGGGAUACAAUGUUCCACGUAUGGAGUUUUGUCUGUACAAUAUGGAUAAGGCUCGGCUAACUCCGUGCCGGCAGCCGCGGUAAUACGGAGGAUCCGAGCGUUAUCCGGAUUUAUUGGGUGUAAAGGGAGCGUAGGUGGAUUGUUAAGUCAGUUGUGAAAGUUUGAGGCUCAACCGUAAAAUUGCAGUGGAAACUGGCAGGCUUGAGUACAGUAGAGGUGGGGGGAAUUCGUGGUGUAGCGGUGAAAUGCUUAGAUAUCACGAAGAACUCCGAUGGCGAAGGCAGCUCACUGGACUGUAACUGACACUGAGGCUCGAAAGUGUGGGUAGCAAACAGGAUUAGAUACCCCUGUAGUC